rnacentral:rRNA from 1 species
CCUACGGGUGGCUGCAGUGGGGAAUAUUGGACAAUGGGCGCAAGCCUGAUCCAGCCAUACCGCGUGGGUGAAGAAGGCCUUCGGGUUGUAAAGCCCUUUUGUUGGGAAAGAAAUCCAGCUGGCUAAUACCCGGUUGGGAUGACGGUACCCAAAGAAUAAGCACCGGCUAACUUCGUGCCAGCAGCCGCGGUAAUACGAAGGGUGCAAGCGUUACUCGGAAUUACUGGGCGUAAAGCGUGCGUAGGUGGUCGUUUAAGUCCGUUGUGAAAGCCCUG